GACGAACGCUGGCGGCGUGCUUAACACAUGCAAGUCGAACGGAAAGGCCCUGCUUUUGUGGGUUGCUCGAGUGGCGAACGGGUGAGUAACACGUGAGUAACCUGCCCUUGCCUUUGGGAUAACUUCAGGAAACUGGGGCUAAUACAGGAUAGGAGCUCCUGCGUCAUGGUGGGGGUUGGAGAGAUUGGGCGGUUGGGGCUGGACUCGCGGCUUAUCAGCUUGUUGGUCGGGUAGUGGCUUACCAAGGCUUUGACGGGUAGCCGGCAUGAGAGGGUGACCGGCGACCAUGGGACUGAGAUACGGCGCAGACUCCUACCGGAGGCAGUAGUGGGGAAUAUUGCACAAUGGGCCGAAGCCUGAUGCAGCAGCGCUGGGUUCGUGAUGACGGCUUUCGGGUUAUAAACCGCUUUCGCAGGUGACGAAGCGUGAGUGACGGUAAUGGGUAAAGAAGCACCGGCUAACUACGUG
rnacentral:rRNA from 1 species